rnacentral:rRNA from 1 species
CCUACGGGAGGCAGCAGUGGGGAAUAUUGCACAAUGGGGGAAACCCUGAUGCAGCGACGCCGCGUGAGUGAAGAAGUAAUUCGUUAUGUAAAGCUCCAUUAGUAGGGAAGAAAAUGACGGUACCUGAGUAAGAAGCCCCGGCUAACUACGUGCCAGCAGCCGUGGGAAUACGUAGGGGGCAAGCGUUAUCCGGAUUGACGGGGGGUAAAGGGAGCGUAGACGGCAGUGCAAGUCUGGAGUGAAAGGCGGGGGCUCAAACCCCGGAGUGCUCUGGAAACUGUACGGCUGGAGUGCAGGAGAGGUAAGUGGAAUGCGUAGUGUAGCGGUGAAAUGCGUAGAUAUUAGGAAGAACACCAGUGGCGAAGGCAGCUUACUGGACUGUAACUGACGUUGAGGCUCGAAAGCGUGGGUAGCGAACAGGAUUAGAUACCCCUGUAGUC